UAUUGGGCUUAACUCUAGUGCGACUUUGUGAAAUGACUUAAGAGGUGUAGUAUAAGUGGGAGGCAAAAGGAAAAAGUGAAAUACCACUACUUUUAACAUUAUUUUACUUAUUUCGUAAAUCGAAAGCGGGGCACUGCCCCUCUUUUUGGACCCAAGGCUCACUUUGUGGGCCGAUCUGGACGAAAGACAUUGACAGGUGGGGAUUUUGGCUAGGGAAGCAAAUCUUUUAAAAGAUAACACAGGUGUCCUAAUAUGAACGCCUGAUAUUCCAGCUUUUAUUUGAGACGUCAAGCCAUUUGCUGAAGAAAUUGUAGCUGAAACAGUUAGUCCAUUUCAAACUAUUCAAGUUUGGAUGGAUACCAUGGAAACUUGCAUA
rnacentral:ncRNA from 1 species